AGCCAUUGAUUUUAAUGCUGGAUAUAUAUAAUAUAUUAAAGUUUAACCAAAAUAUUGCAGAAUCUAAGGGAGAUGCCAGGAACUUUGUUAGGUUACACAUGUGGCCAUAUGAUUCACCAUGGUUGUUUCCAGAAGCUGAAUAGAAAAACUUGCCCAUUCUGCUCCGACAAGUUCUAUAACCGAUUCCUCAGCAUUUUCAAGAUAAAUUGAUUCUGAUCGUUUACAGUGAUUGAAGUUCCGCAAUUGAUCAUCAUUGUCCCGGUUGUACAACACCUUUCAUCAAUGUCUAUUUACUACACAUUGGGUUAUCAAAAUAACUAUGCCUAGCUUGUGACCGAUGCCACAAACGUGUCAUUUCCACUCUUUUUAUGGCUCUGUUUGGAAGUUAAUUUGUUGGCAUAUAUUUAUUAUUUACAAUAUUAUUUAUUUUAUUUAGAGUUGAAUUCACGCUUUAUGGUAAUCAAUUAAUCAUUAUUAUGCUACCACUAUCAAUUGGAUUUCUAAUUUGCUAUUUUAAAUUAUUUAUGGAUGCCUUUGGAUUGUCGUACUUGUUUUAAGCGUUUAAUUUGCCUCGUUACUCUGCUGUGACAUUUGGCGUGUAUUAAUCAAACUUUUUAAGUCUUAAGUUGAAGAAAUUCUCUGAACUUGACGUGCUGUGCUACUUGCUGUUGAUGGAACAAUUUAACAAACAGAAAGCCAAGGAUCCCUGGACUCUGCCAUCAAUAUUAGGGAACAUAUAUUUAUGCCACCAGAGAGAAACUAUCUGCUGGAUCGCUGCUUCUUAAUGCUUUCAUGAAUGUUGCUGAAGGUAAAUGAAGUUUUAAAUAUGUGGGCUAUGUAUUAGCUCUAUUGCUCAUCUUUUCAAAGAAUUUGGAAUCCUUGUCACAAAGGCAGUGGUACUUUAGGAGCAGACUCAUAGGUGUAACGUGUAAGAAUUAGGCCAUUGCUUAUCCAAUGCUGCAAAGACAGUGCACUUCGCUGGUGAGAUAAUGAACUAUGUUAUUAUUGAUUCAUAUAGAAUUGGAGAGUCCUAUCCCCUUUGCUAGAACGUGCGUUACUUAUACCUACGGCGAUCCGCUUCCUAAUAAGAUUCUUGUGACUGUCAUUGAUCCUUUUACUAUGGAGGAAUCUAUCUCUGAGGUACUAGUAUCAUACCAAUCAAAGCCCCUAUUUUGUUCAGGCUGCCGCUCCCUUCUGCUCCUCUGGCCUUUGUUGUUGGACUUGGGGGAUGUUUGGAUGGUUGGUGGGAAUGAGAAUCGGAAAAGAGAAUAAAGGGCAUGGAAAUGGGGUACGGGAAAGGAUAACCAAGGGAUGUGAAAGGAAUGAUUCACCAUCUUGACGUUCUUAUUCCACGCAAAAAUUUUGUUAAUCCAAGCACAGUACAAGGGUACGAGGCCCUGGUUUCCGCUAACCGACCUCAUUAAUCAUGAACCAAACGCCACCAAGAAAGCAGUCCAGGACUGGCGUAGAUUUCUGCAAGAUAGGAAGGUUAAUAUGCGGAAAGUCAAUACUCUUCAAGAAAUAAAUUUCAUGUAUCGGCUGCUUCCGACAAAGAGAUCAUC